rnacentral:lncRNA from 9 species
GGAUGCCGCUUCGCUGCCGGCGGCUCGGCCCAGGAAGGCGGCGCGAGACCCAGUGGACGGCUCCCCGACGAUGCGGCGAGUCCGGAGCGGAGACUUUUGUGUUGGCGAGGCACAGAGCCGGGACUGCAUUGGCAAAUACGACCGAGAUAUUUUCGGAUCCUAGAAUUUUUGCUUAUCUACACCCCAAAAUGUUUCUUCCAGAACCAGGUACAAUGGUUGAUCCACAAGCAGUAGGGAGGAAUGGACUCAAUGUAAAGCUUUGAGGAUAAAAACAGGAUACAAAGUACCUGAAUUCAUUCACGUGACUCUUCAUGAAAAGUCUUCAGACACACGGUGAGUCUGGUGAGUCUGGUUUUCCAUCUUCACCGCGUCUCUGGGAAUUUCAUGCCCUCCUCCUUUUUCCGUCUUUUAUAGAACUGGGUCAUGGCUCUGUCUGAAGGCCCCUUACAGACUCUCGAUUAUUUUAUUUUUUAGCCCUUUGUUUCUCAGCUCAGUAAAGGUAAAAUUCAUAUCCAGGCACCUAUUACUGUCUCUUUUUGGUCAUUUUCUCACAGAUCCUUCUCAUCCCAGAGAAAGUAUCUACUAACUCCAUUCAUUCAUGCUGUUGCAUCCAGUUACCACAAACUCAGUGGCUUUGAGUAACACUAAUUUUCUUCUUGUCCUGUGGGUCAUACGUUUAAAAUGUCACUGAAAUAAAAUUAAGGUGUUGGCAGGACCAUGCUCUUUCUGGAGGUUCGAAGGGAAAGUUUGCUUCUUUGCCUUUUCCAGCUUCUAAGGGAUGCCUGCUUGCCUGGGCUGGGCCCCCUCUGUCCAAAGCCACAAACCGUUUGUUUGACCUCUUAAACCUGCUUCUUUGACUGAUUGUUCUCCCUCCCUCUUUCACUUAUAAGCAUUCUCAUCAGUACAUUGGGCUAUUCAGAUAAUCCACAAUACUAUCUUCCUGUUAAGAUCCUUAAUUUAAGGGAGUUCCCAUCGUGGCACAGGGGAAAUAAAUCCGACUAGGAACCACGAGGUUGUGGGUUCGAUCCCUGGCCUCGCUCAGUGGGUUAAGGAUCUGGUGUUGCUGUGGUUGUGGGCAUAGGCCUGCAGCUGUAGCUCUGAUUUGACCCCUAGACUGGGAACUUCUAUAUGUUGGGGAUGUGACCCUAAAG